GCCACCGUAGCUCAGCUGGUAGAGCAAUGCUUUCGUAAAGCAUAGGUCGUCGGUUCAAAUCCGACUGGUGGCU
rnacentral:tRNA from 1 species